rnacentral:misc_RNA from 1 species
UCUGGAUCUUCAUCUCAGAUUUUGAGAAAAUUCCAAGGCUAUAGGCUUACUGUUUUUUUCGGCAAAAAAGUGAACCAUUUGCUAGAAUAAUUUCAGGACGCUUUUCCUACGUAAAAAAGCGUAUCGAACAAGAAGCCGUCAAUCAAAUUGAGCUGGCAUUCGGAUUCCUGAGAUCAAUAUACAUAAGGAUAGCGUGUUGGACCCUUCAGAAAAAAUCAGUUGUCAGAGAACAUGUAUUUUUCUAUUUAAUACAUCCA